UCCCUCCCUGAAAUAUCACAAUCUAACAUUAACCAUACAUUCUAAUUUCAACUCCCUUCCCCCAAUAUAGACCUAUCCCCGUAAUAUCCAUCAAUUCAAGGAUCCUUCAUCUUUGGUUGAGGCAACACCACAACCAACAAGUUCACCUCCUUCACCGAGAGAUGGAUCCAUCAAGGUGCUUGCGUUUCCUGAGAACCGUGCUGAUGACAUUCAAGCUGAGGCCAGAGCCCUGGCUCGUGCUGCUAAUGCAACUUCGUACACCCCUCAGCUUGUGGCCUCCAAAUAUGGCUCCCAACCCAUCAAGUGUGCCGCAGGAUCCAUUAGUGGGACUGCCCACGUUGGCAUGUCCCGCCAGUGCCAAUGACGGGUCUACCAAUGGUGGGUCUCUCUCCUCUCUCCCGCCAACACCAAUGACGGUAUGCCUUCAUCUCUCCUAGUCAGCCUAUGAGCUUCUUCAUCUCUUCUAGUCAGACCCCGUCCCACUGCUGUCAAUGGCGGCAUCGUCGUACAAGCUUCACGCCAGUAACAAUAGCGGCACCCACGUAAAUAACAGACUCCCCUUGCAAUUUGUUUUAAAACAGACCCUAUUUAAUAAAUUGUUUUUAAAACAACCCCCUACAAUAAAUUUGCCGCAUGGUUGUACGUAAAUUCAUUAGCUUGCUAGGUCCAUCUUACAAGUUCCAAAAGGAUUUUAGUACUAUGUUAUAUUGUUACAUCUAGUAUUUCUUAUUUUAGUAAUUAAAAUUACAUAAACAACUAAAAAGUCAAAAGGAUCAAACUAUAGAUGUCUCGAGAAUUAGACUAUGUUUGAUUUUCAGUUAGAGUCUUCUAAUAUCAAUUCAAAAAGUAAAAUUGAAAGGAAAAAGAAAACCUCUUGUUUAAUUUUCCGUUGAGUUCAAUUGUAAUUUAAUUUGCCUUA